GGGAUGGUAGCAUAACUUGGAUAGUGCCCUUGGUUUGGAACCAAGCAUGUGGAGGUUCAAAUCCUCCCCAUCCCACCA
rnacentral:tRNA from 2 species